rnacentral:rRNA from 1 species
GUGAGGAAUAUUGGUCAAUGGGCGGGAGCCUGAACCAGCCAAGUCGCGUGAAGGAAGAAGGAUCUAUGGUUCGUAAACUUCUUUUGCAGGGGAAUAAAGUGCAGGACGUGUCCCGUUUUGUAUGUACCCUGAGAAUAAGGAUCGGCUAACUCCGUGCCAGCAGCCGCGGUAAUACGGAGGAUCCGAGCGUUAUCCGGAUUUAUUGGGUUUAAAGGGUGCGUAGGUGGUUUGAUAAGUCAGCGGUGAAAGUUUGCAGCUUAACUGUAAAAAUGCCGUUGAAACUGUCGGACUUGAGUGUAAAUGAGGUAGGCGGAAUGCGUGGUGUAGCGGUGAAAUGCAUAGAUAUCACGCAGAACUCCGAUUGCGAAGGCAGCUUACUAAGCUACAACUGACACUGAAGCACGAAAGCGUGGGGAUCAAACAGGAUUAGAAACCCGGGUAGUCC